AUGGCCACAUCACUUUGAAACACCAGUUUUCAUAUGAUCACUGAAGUCAAGCAAUGUUAAUCCUGAUCAGUACCUAGAUGGGUGACCUCUUGGAAAUACCAAGUGCU